UGCCAGCCGCCGCGGUAAUACGGAGGGGGCUAGCGUUGUUCGGAAUUACUGGGCGUAAAGCGCGCGUAGGCGGAUUGGUAAGUUGGAGGUGAAAUCCCGGGGCUCAACCCCGGAACUGCCUUCAAAACUGCCAGUCUUGAGUUCGGGAGAGGUGAGUGGAAUUCCUAGUGUAGAGGUGAAAUUCGUAGAUAUUAGGAAGAACACCAGUGGCGAAGGCGACUCACUGGCCCGAUACUGACGCUGAGGCGCGAAAGCGUGGGGAGCAAACAGGAUUAGAUA
rnacentral:rRNA from 1 species